rfam:Prochlorothrix hollandica PCC 9006 = CALT 1027 contig_1, whole genome shotgun sequence.
GGGGUUGUAGCUCAGAUGGAUAGAGCGAGUGCCUCCUAAGCGCUAGGCCGCGCGUUCGAAUCGCGCCAACCCCG